CUUACAUCUAGCUAGUUGCUAGGAUCAUUACACCUGACAUUAUUUGCCUUGCUACAUUAGAGCUGCACACUUGGUAUUUUAAACUCAAGUGAAUACACAAAUUUGAUACACAACAUAUUUCCUAAUCAGCUAUAGACUUACAAUUCAACACAACCUUCUAUCACUCUUCAAUAAUUGCUUUCAAGUAAGUGUUUGCCCGUUCAACAUGACUUGCAGGGACAUCGAAUCAAAUAAUUUCUUCGGAACACUCCCUCCAAAACUUGGUAAUUUAGUCAAGCUCGAGCGACUGUAAGUGCUUCGUUAAAUCAUCAAAUUUGAAUUACAAAUUUUGGUUCAUCACUCCCUCCAAAACUUGGUAAUUUAGUCAAGCUCGAGCGACUGUAAGUGCUUCGUUAAAUCAUCAAAUUUGAAUUACAAAUUUUGGUUCAUCACUUCAUCAAAAUUAUCUAUUGGAUAUUAAAAAUGGUAGAAUUAUCAGAGAGACGGCAAAAGGCUCACCUUUCAACAACACCGAUAUUGUCCCUAACUUAGUAAUUACCACCUGUACAAUCCGUCAGGUGUGGAGUUUAUCUCAAAAGACCUCGACAUUAGUUGGAGUGGGAUUUGGAUAUUUAAAUACUUCUUUCUUUAUUUCUCUAGCCGAUGUGGGAUUUCAACAAAAAUAUGGUGAUGUUGUAAGAUUAAGAGUUAACGAUUACACUUCCUUUCAAUUUUUGUAGGUAUAUGGAUAAGAAUUAUUUCACCGGUCCCCUACCGGCAUUCAUUGGCAAUAUGUCUGCAUUGACUGGAUUGUAAGUAGUGAGAGAACAUUUCUUUAAGUACUCAUACUUCUGAUGAGACCCGUAGCAAUUUGUAUACUUCAUUUUGAAUAUCAUAAUCUACAGUUAUGUUCUUUACACCUUUUCUCUACUAUUUAUGCCGUAAUCUACAAAAAAUCAUUAUGCUUUUAUUGAAUAAUGCAGUACUAGUUUCCUGUUAUUUAAUGUAAUUAAGUUUAAUGAUGCUUAUCUUUCACUAACUCAUAUCUCCAUUCAGGUCAAUUAAUGUCAAUUCAUUCUCUGGGCCCAUCCCCAAGGAGCUUCGAAACCUUAAGGAGCUAACAUAUUUGUAAGCCAUGAAAAAUUUUCUGAAGGUUUCUCUUUCUCUGCAAAAUCUAGCAGAGCAUGUUCUCUUCAUCUCUCUACAAUUCACACACACACUCUGCUUUACAUAACCGUUAGAAUCCAAGGUGGAUUCUCUCUCUUCACAAAACAAUCUCAGCCUUACAUCUGGCUAGUUGCUAGGAUCAUUACACCUGGCAUUAUUUGUCUUGCUACAUUAGAGCUGCACAUUAGGUAUUUUAAACUCAAGUGAAUACACAAAUUUGAUACACAGCUUAUUUCCUAAUCAGCUGUAGACUUACAAUUCAACAUAACCUUCUAUCACUCUUCAAUAAUUGCUUUCAAGUAAGUGUUUGCCCGUUCAACAUGACUUGCAGGGACAUCGGAUCAAAUAAUUUCUCCGGAACACUCCCUC
rnacentral:lncRNA from 1 species